rnacentral:tRNA from 1 species
GCCGGUGUGGUGGAAUGGUAGACACAAGGGACUUAAAAUCCCUCGUUAGCAAUAACGUACCGGUUCGAGUCCGGUUACCGGCA